rnacentral:rRNA from 1 species
GACGAAGCGUCCAAACGUUGUUCGGAAUCACUGGGCUUAAAGGGCGCGUAGGCGGGUGAGCAAGUCUGUGGUGAAAUCCUCCGGCUUAACCGGAGAACUGCCGUGGAUACUGCCCAUCUCGAGGAGGAUAGGGGCAUCUGGAACUAGCGGUGGAGCGGUGAAAUGCGUUGAUAUCGCUAGGAACUCCGGUGGCGAAGGCGAGAUGCUGGAUCCUUUCUGACGCUGAGGCGCGAAAGCCAGGGGAGCGAACGGG